UUGGUCUUUAAAUAUAAUAACUAUCAUAUAGACAGAGUUGGUAAUUGGAUUUUUGUAUAAAAAAGGAAGUGAAUAGAUAAUUAAGUAUUUUGCACAAAUUAAAAAAAUCAGAUAAUUAAUUCUACAUUGUUGUCGGCACCAGUCUUCAUCUUCUUUGUUCAGAACAAAUUUCACUCUUCUUAAUUUAAGCAGCAGAGGAUUUCACUCUUCUUAAUCUUGAUACAAAAUCGUUGUCAUUAGGAGCUGAUAUUCCAAUUGAUUUCUUCAUCUGCUACUCGGAAAGAUCAAACGUUACACUGUUUGCUACGAAUUCCACCGUUUCAACAUCUCUCACAUGAGAACUGUGAAUAGAAGAUUUCAUCACCAAUCGUCUAUAACCUCAAAUCCAAACGAUUCUUCUUAUGGAUAUGAGGUAAAGUCUUCGAUGGCCACCAUAAUCCCUUGUUUAUUCUUUGCAUUCUCUCAAGCAUCAGACUUCAAGAAAGGUCAUGGCAAUGGUUUGUGCAAGUUCCAGAGAGUUGGAUUUGUAGAAAUUAACAGCAUUAUCGCUUUGGGGUGGACAAUUUUGGAGUAAAUUUAAGGAAUUGGUUUCUUCUUUGAGCGACUUUGGGUUGAUCUAUUUCCUGAGUAGUUUGUGAGGUACUUCUUUAUGAUAUUAACUCUUUCUUUUACCUAUCAAGUGAUGGGUUAUGAUCUGAAUCAUUGAUUGAGACGAUUAUAAUUGGGAAGAUUGGUUUUGUCGUCAAGGAGAUUUUUGGUGGUGCUUUGCAGAGCCAGGUCAAGUGUUUGUCAUGUGGUGCCGAGUCAAAUACAGCCGAUGAGAUUAUGGAUAUCAGUCUUGAAAUUUUGCAUAGUAUCUCUAUCAAGGAGUCUAUGCAAAAAAAAUUUCAAUCAGAGAUUUUAGAUGGCAACAAUAAGUAUAAAUGCGAGACCUGUGAUAAACUGGUGACGGCGAGGAAGCAGAUGUCGUCUAUACUCCAAAUGCCUAAUAUCCUUGUUAUCCAAUUGAAAACCAAAAGUCAUGGAAGCAACAAAUGGAACGCAAUUAGCAAGGAUUAGAAGUUCCAGGUGCGUAUUUACUCUACCAGUAAAACGUUUUUUGAUAGACGUCGUGCAUAUUGAAGUAACAUAGGCAAUAAACUGUAAUAGAAUGUUGUAGAUAAAUAUUGAAACCUGAUUCAGAAGGAUAAUUUUGUAAGUAUAGAUGACAGUUUGAGUAAGAUAGAAACUUAUUAUGAUUCUGAUUGUCCUUUCUCUGAAAUUGCUCUGUCAGUCUCUUUCUUCUGAUUGAAUUCCCAAGCUAACGUAGCCAUUGAAAGAGAAGAAAGGUAUGCUAAAUAUUGUUAAAUGAUUGUACGCUCUUGUGUUUGGUGAUGGAACUCCAUGGUUUAGGUGUAAAGUAUUUAUAGGGAAGUAAAUUAGGGUUCGUUUAUUGAUAGGCUGCUCUCUAAAAUUAAAAACGACGCAAGAUUUGUGGGAUACAAUCUUUGAUAUUAUUGUGUUUAUGGAAUAUGCUAGGAUCAAUCUUUUAUUUGGUAAUUAAUAUUCUUUAUAUAUUUCGUUAUUUUGAUAGAUAUUUUAGGAAAAAAUUACUUGAAGUUCAAGGUGGAGUGUUUAAAUAGAAAGAGAUAUCUCGGCACAUAUCUAUAUUCAAUCUCGGGAUUGAUAUAAUUGGAGAAGUAAAUCUCGGCAAUCUCGGCAUUAAUUCUCGAAGCACAAUAAUAUCUAAAUUGAUGAUAGAAUUAAGAGCUAGUAAUAUUUUGGUAGUUAAGUUUGAGAUAUUUUAGGAAGAUUGAAUCCAAUAUGUCGUUUAAGUUUAGUAACUAAUUCUGUAGUUAAAUAUUUCGUUGGUUUAAGUUUAGAUUUUAUAGGAAUAUUUAAGAUUAUUUAAUUAUAUUUUCCAUAUCUUUCAAUAAUCAAAGAGUAAAUGUUGUUUGCC